CUGAUGGAGGUUUGCUCAUGAGCUGCUUCCCAAAGGGAAGAGACAGUUCUGUUCAACCUAGAUAAAGAUCCGCUAAUUGUGGUACUUUGGUUGGUAACGGGUCUGCAUUGGGUGCCAGCUUGUGGAAGCGCUGUAUCUGAAAUCGAGAUAGACAAUCACUAAUUUUAUUAUUUUUUCCUGGUAUAUGUUUCGCAUGUAUUAUAAAAAAUUUCCUGUUGCAGCACACCAAGUUAACCUGCGCAUCAGUUUAAUAAUGAACGGAGACUUGCUGCGACAUUUUGUAAUUAUAUUUACUGUUGCUUGAUUAUCACAGUGAAACCUAAUUUGCUUUUUUGUCCAUUGCUUCUGCCAGAGAACGACACACACUACUAUAGGGACUAGUUCCAUAAAUGUGAUAGACAUUUCAUCAUCACCAAGUUUAGGCAGUUCUUUUGGCCAGGAUUCUGAAAACCAUUUUCCCCUGAUAGAAACCUCCAUAAUCAUAACUUCCACUAGCGUCUGUAUAUAGGUCUAUCUCGUUACACUCCGUUACAGCAUCAUCAUAAAAGAAAGAUAUUCAAUUCCAUGUCCAGAAACCUAAUCCAAAUAUUUAUAUCAAUAAGACAUUCACUGCUUAACAUGAUGGUGAAGUUCUUUCACUGACGCUGCCAGCCGUAAUAAGUACGAGACGAAACUCCUCCCUGGCUUUAUAACUCGCGAUGCAAAGUUAAGAUGACCUAACACACUGAGGAGCUUACGUUUGGUGACCGAUCUUUUCGUGCUUAUCUCGUUUAACAUUUCUUUUAUCCGAGUAACUUUUUGCAUUGGAAGGGAACCCUGCAUCUUUACCGAGUCUAAAGUUAUUCCUAGAAAUACCAUAGUAGUGUCAGGCCCAAAAGUUUUAUCUGGGUGAAUAGGUAUUGACAAAGUUCCAAAGACACGCGUAAGGAGUGCCAUGUUUCUUACCCCAUCUUCAUUUUUGGGUACGAUAGAUAAAAAAUCAUCUAGCAGAUAAAGUAAGUGCGAAAUAUUGUAAUUUGUUGUGACUAUGUAGAGGAUAGCUUCUGAUAAAAGUGUGAACAUUUUUGGACUACUUCUUGAACCAAAGCACGGACGUUUGAAAAAAUAACGUUUAUUGUUCCAAUGCCAUGGUAUAGCCAUAGACUAGGCUUUAUUGGAAUCAGCCUAAAUGCGUAGACAAUGUCAGUUUUGCACAUCAGAGCCCCUUGGCCUACUUCUUUAAUCACUGAAAUAGCAUCAUCCACCCUGACAUAGGACAGCGAAUACUCCUCUUUGUCUAUUAAGCUAUUUAUGCUUGUGUGCAGUGAGCUGUUAUGCGGUUCACUCAAAUGCACAAUCAAUCUGAACUUUUUGAAUAUUUACUUUCAACUAGGCCUAAAGGAUUAAUACGAUAUACUUCAAAUGGCGGUCUUUCGAAAUGUCCAUGUAAGUAGCCUUCGCUACAUUCACGAUCUAGAAGUUCUGUUACUUUUUCUGGUUGCUUAAUGGCGGACUGUAGAUUGUUGCAGUGGUAACUACUAACAGGUAGGUCUCGGAUUCCCGUAUCAAAACCGCCUUGUAAACCACCCAACAAUUGGUUGACAUACGUUCUAUUAGGAUGCAACAUCAGUUGUUUUUCUAAUGCAACAAUAUUUAUAGGAGUAGUAGCUUUCAGCUGUUGGUUUUCAAAAGUUUGGCAACAGAGUCAUUAUUUUUUCACAGAAGGCUUUAAAGUUUGCGUUUUGCUUCCACAGAGGUAGGCUCUGGUCUGAUUUACACACUUUACAAAUAUGUAUGAUGUUUGAGUUUAUAUGAAGCGAUGUGCAACCUCUUGUGUUGAAGUUGUUGCAAAUUUCUUUUCCGUUGUGGAAUCUCCUCUCUCGACCAUGACGAUCAUUUCUGGAACAGUCAUAAGAGGCCGUAUGCGUUCGUGAAGUUGUGGGAAAUCUUUCCUGGUUUGAUCGCACAGACUGGAAGUUUCUAAUGCCAGAAGUAUUUGCAGAGGCGUUCAAAGGGCAGAAAGGAGUUGUGUGAUCUGUAUUUUUACAAGAAUCACAUGACGUGGUACGCAGACCAGAAAACGUUGUAAGGUAUAGCUUCGUAUCGCAUGAUGACCAGUCUACCUGUAUAUUUUGCAUCUCGUAUUGUUCUGCUUUACGAGAGAAAGCUGUAUGGUAGCUGUAGAAAUGGUAACCACCAUACUGUCUAUACAUGUCGUCGAUCAAAUCCGAAUAGCAGUCCAACUCCCUACGUCUGUGUGGUUCCGCCUCACAUAUAACAUUCUUGUACUUAGAAAGGCAGUUCUAAAUUCAUGAAUAUUAAGGCACUUCUAGCAUACCCAGCACGUACAACUACGGAAAACGGAAAAUUACGUGCGCGUUGACGGUUACAUCGCCAAUUAAUUAUGUAAUCACACGAAUACCUUCAGCGGACAAAAUAGAUUUAGUAGCACUUGCAUUUUGUCUUCUGCUGUAUGUCUUCUCUUCUAUAUACGUACCCCGGGCUGAUUGUAGUUCGUUUGAAACACAUUUUCAGUCACACAAGAAGUUAUGGCAAUUAGAACCACGCAUAUAUUAAACAAACGAAUAGAAUUUAAAUCUUACUUGUUAAAUUAGAUAUGAACAAAUACUUGUUUAUUUCUUAGAUAAAGUGGAAAGAAGUGAUAAAGUAAAAACAUCAAAACUGUAGUGUUAAAUGUUAUGAUGUUGGCACUACAGUGAUGAUACGCAUGUUAUUAAAUCAUUCUUUUUAUGUUUUCAGUACAGCGAAUUCAACCCGAAAGGUAUUUCCGAAAGUAUGACCUAACCAUUUAAACUACGUAGGGUUUGUUUUAUUUACCUAGUUGACAUAACGAGAUUACUUUUAUGUUAAUUCAAUUAGUCGACCAUUAAUCUCAAAAAAUGAUAAGAUAUAAUUCACAAAAUACCAUUCCCCAUGCAACUUGGAAGUCCAAUAUAAACAGAAAUGAAAAUAUCUGACAGUCAUUCUGUUGUUUAUUUCUGGAUUAUAAAAUCAUAACUUCAGUUUUCGUCCAUUAAGUACACAGACAUGGCUACAUCACCAGCACCGGCACCGUUGAUCUAUCUCUACACAAAUGACAUCCCUGUCUGGUUACAGGUGAUGUUAGGGAUUACGGCUUGUGUUGCUGCCUUACUGUUACUUACAUGCCUCCUACUUUGCUGUAUGCGACUGUGCGGAUGUUGGACCGGGAAUAUUCUGGGCGUUGGAUCGCUCAGACGGCCUAUGGAUGACACAGACCAUCUCGGAUGCUGGUGUUGCCGGCCCCACGUUGUAUCAAGCAGAUCUCGCAUAGACGACGGACAAAUAUCAUAUAGACGCUGACCAUGAUGUACAUGGCGUUAAGACUUUCUGGAGUGAACCAAGAAUUGAAGUCUCAACUACAUGGGCAUAUACUUGCUCAUGUCUUCAUCUCAUUAAUAUAGCAGUUUCAUAGGGCUGAAAUACUAUUUUUAAAACAGUGACUCUGUAGAAUGAUAAAUUGUGAACAAGGGGCUACGAAUCCAACAUUGCCUCUCGAAGAUAAUUUAAACGAACGUUUUAAUCAACAUACACUAAUCAGACAAGUGUUUGACUGCACUUGCCUCAAUGUACAUUUUGUUUACAAUCAGUAAUUUCGUUUAAAUGAGCUAUCUGCAAGAAAUGUGCUAUACUGGCUUCUUUUCUGUAUCGUCGUUAGUAAUAGAUGCACUCCUACUCACACUUCAUGUAUUGUAAUAUAUUUUGUACUUUGUUCUUAAUAGACAUUUAUUCUUGUAAAUAAAUUUUUGACACCAAACACAAGUUACUAGCCAGUUACUUUGGUUACGGCAGUUCAUACUACGUAACCCAGGGUGUAUUUUGCAUUAAAAAGCAAAAGCAGUUCUAAUGUUCCCUUAUGGGAAAGUAGAUUUGUAUAUAUAGAUUUUCAUGGAUGUUAUAACAUAAACUAGAUAAUUGUCAGUUGUUUUUUUUCCAAUGCAUUAACUCUGGAUAUUUCAGGAACUUCUGUUUUGUUUUCGUUUCAUGGGUUUAACAUUAGAACAACACAAUUAUAUGCCAUACGGUGACUUUCCAACUCUUCAAGGUGGAGACCAGACAUGCUCCUCAAAGCAUUUUUUUCAGGCAUAGGCAUGUACCUGGAUAGAACCAUGGACCUUCCGUACAAGCCAGCUGGACAGCUUCGUCACAUGGAAGAAUUAAAAUGUUAAAGUAAUGAUUUGUGGUCAACAUUGUACAAAGAAACAUAUUCUGAACUUGAUGAAUGGGGCUAUGUAUACUUUAUGUAUAGGAAUCAAAGGGCCAUAACUCAUUCAACUGUAAAACAGUUCUACUGAUCAUUCGUAUGAAGUGUCAUUGAAAUACUUCAGUAGUAUAGAAGAGACAUUUCAUUCAAAAGGUCAUAGCUCUAUAAAAAUUAACAGAGACAUGCAAAAAAAAAACAACUGGGCUAAAUAGCAAUUAUUUCUGUGAAAUUUCAUUGAAAUUCUGCAAACUUGCUGUACGAGAUGAAGUCUGGACAAGACUAUGUACAUAUGACCUCAUGUAUAACAAGGCCCCCGCAAGGAAACAUCAGUGCCCGACUAUUUCAUAGCUCGAUAGUGAAAUAGGGUAUUUCAGAAGAAACUCCAUCAAUCAAUGGAAUCUCUUAAUUUUAGACAUCAGUUUAGGUGUUAAGUCAAAUACAGGUAGUAAUAAUUUUGGUAAAACUAGAAUAGGCAUAAUUCAUAUAUUUCUGUUAGAGUAAUGUACCUUGUGUCAUAAGAUGUGGAGCACUUGCCGGUACUUUAAAUCAUAUCAAUACAAGAUUGAAAGUGCAUCAAAUUGAAAAAAAAAAUAAAAGGUGGCAUAAUUAAUGACAUAAUGGUGCCAGAGCUAUGCCCUUUGCAUGAUGAUGUGGAGCAAAUAUUUUAAGUUUGCAUCAUACCAAGAAUAGAGUGGAAAUGCAUAAAAACUUCAACCUUAAAAAAUCAAAGUUAAAAAUAGAGGGAAUAAUUCAUGAAAUAUUUGUGUGAGAAUUAUGGACCUUUCGCCAAAUUAUGUGGGUGACGAGGUGGACUAUUAUUGAUAUGGGCGAUGAUGAAGAGAAACCAUUUAAUGUUUAGAGCAAAUCCAUCAAUUAAUAACAAAGAUUAAGUGAAAGUGCAUCAGACAUUUAGCUAUGGACACAGACAAGGAUGCCAUGGUGAUUAGGCCAGUUCUUCAUAUACUUCGUAUUGUUGAGUUAAACAUCAAAGGGUCAUAACUGUGAUUAUUCCUAUAAAGUUUUAAUGGAAUCUCACUGAUAGUAUACAGAGGAGCCAGGCCAAAUUUUGUUCAAAAGUAACCUUUAAGGAGUUAGGACUCUUAUUCAUCACACCUAUAUAGUUUCAUUGACAUCCAGUCAGGCAUUGGAGAUGUAGACCAGAUAAGAAACUCUACAUACCGUUAGGCUUUAUGUAUAAUCACCAAAGGCCAAAUCUCAAUGAACAACCAUUGGCUUGCAACUAAUCAUUCAUACAAAGUAUCAUUCAAAUCCAAUCAAGAGAAUAUAAGUAUUUUGUAUAUGAAGAACAGCUGACAGACAGAUGCAAAAAUAUUAAGUACCUAUGAAGUAGGAAAACAUAAUUAAACGGGCUAUCGUUUCCAACACAAAGAAAACAAGUCAGAAUGACAACCUGGCUACAUAUAUGGAAAUUUGACUAGUAACUAUUGAACUAUUUUCCUUUCUUGAUAACAUAGUCCUUGUACAGACAGGAUGGUCAACAAUGUAAUGAUGUAUAUAACUUAUAUAUUU
rnacentral:misc_RNA from 1 species